AGCGAACGCUGGCGGCAGGCCUAACACAUGCAAGUCGAACGAACUCUUCGGAGUUAGUGGCGGACGGGUGAGUAACACGUGGGAACGUGCCUUUAGGUUCGGAAUAACUCAGGGAAACUUGUGCUAAUACCGAAUGUGCCCUUCGGGGGCAAGAUUUAUCGCCUUUAGAGCGGCCCGCGUCUGAUUAGCUAGUUGGUGAGGUAAAGGCUCACCAAGGCGACGAUCAGUAGCUGGUCUGAGAGGAUGAUCAGCCACAUUGGGACUGAGACACGGCCCAAUCUCCUACGGGAGGCAGCAGUGGGGAAUCUUGCGCAAUGGGCGAAAGCCUGACGCAGCCAUGCCGCGUGAAUGAUGAAGGUCUUAGGAUUGUAAAAUUCUUUCACCGGGGACGAUAAUGACGGUACCCGGAGAAGAAGCCCCGGCUAACUUCGUGCCAGCCGCCGCCGUAA
rnacentral:rRNA from 1 species